CGAUCGGGGCCGCGCCGGGGCCCACCUUAAAGGUUCCUUCGACGACGGGCCGCGGGAUCGCUUUCUCCGUCUAAUUCGUCGAUGGGAAACGGAACGGACGGCUCAGAUUGUUGCGUCGAGCUAAGGCCACUUUGAAGUUCGUAUAAAAUACGCUCCCCUCUCUCUCUCUAUCCCUCUGUGUGCCCCACAAAUCCUAGCUGUCCUCAGCGUCUCAGCCCCCUCUCCAUCUCGCUCGCUAGCGUUCGUUCCGCUGCGUCCCUUCGAAACCUCGCGCCGCCGCCCGGAGGACUGAUCAUGGUGAGUGGGGGUUUUUCUCCGUGGUUCGUCUAUUUCGGCCGAUUGUCGCCGGUGGAUCGCCGUUCGCGAGCUCUUGGAGUCUGGGACGGUCGAUGCUGUUUCGGCGUGGCGCUCCAUCAUUCGGGCGCGCUGGGCCCAUUCCAUUAGCUGAGGUGGAGCGGAUAGGUUUUUCUCCGUCGUUCGUCUAUUUCGGCCGAUAAGCAGCAAGUCAGUGGGGUUUUUCUCCGUCGUUCGUCUGUUUCGGCCGACGAACAGCAAGUCAUCGUCUGUUUCGGCCGACAAACAGCAAGUCAUGGAAGCAAACCCUUGGAGGGUGGGCAGGAUCGGACGUCCCGGAUUGUUGCGUCGAGGUAACGCCAGGUUCUUUUUGGAACUGUAGGACCCUAACCUUCACUUUGUGGAGUCUCCUGCUCGUCCAGAAGUGCACAUUCACUUGGCUGCCCAGCAACCACUUGCUUUUGCUGCUGGUCAGCCAUUUUCCGACGACGACGAUGAUGCAGUUCCGAUGGAGUAUGAACCGACUACUGAGGAUUUCCUUUUCCGUAGGAGUUGCUGCAUUGGGUGCGCGUUUUUCUUGUUGGAGAGAUUUAAUAGUUUACACGUUUGAGCUCCAAUGUGACUGUUCCGUAGUCACUUUGAAUUGAUGUGGUGAUCCAUCUCAUCUGAAUGGUCUAUGUUCAAUCACGAGUGUGUUGAAGUGA